UAAAUACUCCCUCCGUCCCGAAAUUCUUGUCUAAUGUUUUGUAAAUACGGAUUUAUCUAGUCACGUUUUAGUGUUAGGUACAUCGUAUCUAGACAAAUCUAAGACAAGAAUUUUCUGUCGGAGGUAAUGUUGC
rnacentral:pre_miRNA from 1 species